CAUGGGCAGAAAAUGGAAAUUUAGAUGAAAUAUAUAGUUGGUUAGAGAAUGGAGGUA
rnacentral:ribozyme from 1 species